GAUGAACGCUGGCGGCGUGCUUAACACAUGCAAGUCGAACGGAAAGGCUCCUGCUUGCAGGGGUACUCGAGUGGCAAACGGGUGAGUAACACGUGGGUGACCUGCCCUGCACUUCCGGAUAAGCCUGGGAAACUGGGUCUAAUACCGGAUAGGACCACAUUUUGGAUGGUGUGGUGGAAAGUUUUUUCGGUGUGGGAUGAGCUCGCGGCCUAUCAACUUGUUGGUGGGGUAAUGGCCUACCAAGGCGUCAACGGGUAGCCGGCCUGAGAGGGUGUACGGCCACAUUGGGACUGACAUACGGCCCAGACUCCUACGGGAGGCAGCAGUGGGGAAUAUUGCACAAUGGGCGCAAGCCUGAUGCAGCGACCCCUCGUGGGGGAUGACGGCCUUCGGGUUGUAAACUCCUUUCGCUACGGACGAAACGUAAGUGACGGUACCUGGAGAACAAUCACCGGCUAACUACGUGCCAGCAGCCGCGGUAAUACGUAGGGUGCGAGCGUUGUCCGGAAUUACUGGGCGUAAAGAGCUCGUAGGUGGUUUGUCGCGUCGGUUGUGUAAGCCCGCAUCUUAACUGCGGGACUGCAGGCGAUACGGGCAUAACUUGAGUGCUGUAGGGGAGACUGGAAUUCCUGGUGUAGCGGUGGAAUGCGCAAAUAUCAGGAGGAACACCGAUGGCGAAGGCAGGUCUCUGGGCAGUAACUGACGCUGAGGAGCGAAAGCAUGGGUAGCGAACGGGAUUAGAUACCCUGGUAGUCCAUGCCGUAAACGGUGGGCGCUAGGUGUGAGUCCCUUCCACGGGGUUCGUGCCGUAGCUAACGCAUUAAGCGCCCCGCCUGGGGAGUACGGCCGCAAGGCUAAAACUCAAAGGAAUUGACGGGGGCCCGCACAAGCGGCGGAGCAUGUGGAUUAAUUCGAUGCAACGCGAAGAACCUUACCUGGGCUUGACAUACACCAGACCGGGCCAGAGAUGGUCUUUCCCUUUGUGGUUGGUGUACAGGUGGUGCAUGGUUGUCGUCAGCUCGUGUCGUGAGAUGUUGGGUUAAGUCCCGCAACGAGCACAACCCUUGUCUUAUGUUGCCAGCACGUUAUGGUGGGGACUCGUGAGAGACUGCCGGGGUUAACUCGGAGGAAGGUGGGGAUGACGUCAAAUCAUCAUGCCCCUUAUGUCCAGGGCUUCACACAUGCUACAAUGGUCGGUACAACGCGUCUGCGAGCCUGUGAGGGUGAGCUAAUCGCUGUAAAGCCGGUCGUAGUUCGGAUUGGGGUCUGCAACUCGACCCCAUGAAGUCGGAGUCGUUAGUAAUCGCAGAUCAGCAACGCUGCGGUGAAUACGUUCCCGGCCCU
rnacentral:rRNA from 1 species